AUCGCUUCUCGGCCUAUCGGCUAAGAUCAAAGUGUAGUAUCUGUUCUUAUCAGCUUAACGUGCAAACGAAUCUGGUAAGAGCAGGUAUCGUAUCGAUAGGCGCGUAACCGGUGAGAGUUUCU